GCAUGCCAGAAAAAGGGUGGCAACCCCAAAUGGGGCGCUUGGGUCUGAGAGAGGCUCAACCCUCUAAUCUCACAUCAGCAGGGGGUGUGAGACUGAAAAGGAGGGUGUGAUUAAGUAAAUAUCAAGGGCCCAAAAGUGGAAGCCCAUAAAUCCCAGGUCAAAGGGACUGAAUGGUUGAAUCAUGCACACGUGGCCAUCUGAUUUUGAUCAGAUAGCCCUGAUAACAUCAUGAUCAAAGCGCCUAACAACCCUAGGAUCUACAUACUAUAUAGUCAAAGCAGAUCUAAUGGCCGAGAUAAAAAUGAUAACAGAGACACUCGGGGGGUCCUGUACAAGAUCCCUUCCACAUUUAUCCAAGACCGGCCACUAGCUAAUUAACAUGUGGAAAUUAAGAAUUAAAAAAAAUAAAAAAUUAAAAAAUAAAAGCAUAAUAAAACACACCGAUGAGAUUGAGGGUUGAGAUUCGAUAUAGGAAUCUCUUCCCUCUUCUCUCAAUCUCCUCUUCACUUUUUUUAAGCUUCAUUUUCAGAUAAGGAAAGCUCAAAACAACGCGUAGGAAUGGUAUAACAAGAUUCAAACAUCAGGUACAAACAUUAUCGAACACUUAGAAUCAAAUAUCGGGCAUUGAACAGUCAUGAAAAUGAAGAUUUUAAGUCUUAGAAGUUUGGAUUAAAACGAGGUCGGUCUAGCCUUAACUCAAGUGAUCAACUAAAAAUAUAUGCAUAAACAAGGUCAGGCGAGUAUCAUGAAGUUGUCUAGAUGGACGUAUCAUAGAAAACAAUCAGGAAUCCCAAAGUUCUUCACUAAGACGGAGAACAUGAAGAACAAGAACCCUAAUUCUAAAAUUAAAUAUCGAUGGUGAGCAAUUGGAACAUGUUAGCAUGGGGGAAACACUCAGCACAAGAAAAGCAACAAGAUCGUAUCAAGAGAUUAGAGAAAAGUGAAGAAAAUACCUAAUUAGAAACUGGAGAUUUCCAGAUCCCAGUUGAAGUUCACGGCGAGUAUGCACUUUCCGGCGAGAAUUUCUAGAAACCGACAAAGUCCAAAUUUCUCAUGCUUUAGAAGUUGUUCAUAAGUAAGAACAACUUCUUAAAAUUGCAGAGUUUCUAGCAAGAACUUUAGUGAGGAUGAAGUUGUGAAUUGGAUCGUGAUUGUUGCUCUCAAAGUGUGUGUGUGUAGCUCUAAAUUUUUGUGUGUAAUUGUGGCUGCUGAGUAGUGUAUUGAUGCAUAGGCUUUAUAGUGAGUGAAUUAGGUCUAUAUUGGUGAGUGUGAGUUCAAGAUAUUUUGGUGAGUUGGUUGGUGAAUCCGUGUGAAUCAAGUGAGAGGAAUGUGAGGGUGAAGUGUGUGAGUUGCAACUUGUUGAAAUUGUGGGAUGGAGGUUGCAAACCAUGUGACAAACUUGUUAUAAAUCCAAGUGCAAAUGAUGCCAUGUGAUGUAAAAUGUAAUGACAUAUAUGAAUGAAUGAAAACACAUUGAUCCUUUGCCAA